GACGGAGGGUGCUAGCGUUGUUCGGAAUCACUGGGCGUAAAGGGCGCGUAGGCGGCCUCAGGUGUCGGAUGUGAAAGCCCGGGGCUCAACCCCGGAGGUGCAUCCGAAACUCUGGGGCUGGAGGUCGGAAGAGGAGGGUGGAAUACCCAGUGUAGAGGUGAAAUUCGUAGAUAUUGGGAAGAACACCGGUGGCGAAGGCGGCUCUCUGGACCGAGACUGACGCUGAGGCGCGAAAGCGUGGGGAGCAAACAGG
rnacentral:rRNA from 1 species